rnacentral:rRNA from 1 species
CCCUUAGAUGUCCUGGGCCGCACGCGCGCUACACUGACAUGUUCAACAAGCCUCCUAGUUCGACAGGAUUUGGGAAAUCUUUGAACGCAUGUCGUGAUAGGGAUAGAUUAUUGCAAUUAUUAAUCUUGAACGAGGAAUUCCUAGUAAACGCAGAUCAUCAAUCUGCAUUGAUUACGUCCCUGCCCUUUGUACACACCGCCCGUCGCACCUACCGAUUGGAUGGUCCGGUGAAGCCUCGGGAUUGUGGCGGUUGCCUUUAUUGGUGGCCGCCGCGAGAACUUGUCUAAACCUUAUCAUCUAGAGGAAGGUGAAGUCGUAACA